GCGUAGAACCUGAAGUUCACAAGUAUCUUUUCUUGUUCUUAAAAUUUGUUGCAUCUGUUAUUCCAACUAUCGAAUAUGAUUACACUAUGGACUUCGAUCUUGGUGGCCCUAGCAGUCGAUAACUGGGAUUGAUAAGCAUUCGAUGCAGAUCCGAUUAUACAUACGUGUGGGAUAUUUCACAUCUGAUGUUUCGACAAAUACAGGAUGAGCCUCUGCUCCUUGUACAUACACAACAUGUGGUCUAAGUGGUACCCUCUUUGGAUAUAUUUAGUGUUGCAAUUGCUUUCUGUCCGUCUUAUUUU
rnacentral:misc_RNA from 1 species